UGGGGCGCUGUUGACCGCGUCACAGCCCUUUGACAUCCUCCUCCGCGUGAACGCGGAGGAAUCCCGACCGCGUUUGGGAUAUAAAGGGGAGAAAACGAGAGUUUCGCCCGUAUAUUUGCGGGUUUCGCUUGAGUGCGGGUUGGAACCAAAAGGCACUGACAGCCCGAAUCCGGUGGACGGAUUCCACGUCCUUCAGGGCGUGGAGGAGGUCAAUAGCUAAGCAGCC
rnacentral:misc_RNA from 1 species